UACGGAGGGAGCUAGCGUUGUUCGGAAUUACUGGGCGUAGAGCGCGCGUAGGCGGCUUUGUAAGUUAGAGGUGAAAGCCCGGAGCUCAACUCCGGAACUGCCUUUAAAACUGCAUCGCUUGAAUCCAGGAGAGGUGAGUGGAAUUCCGAGUGUAGAGGUGAAAUUCGUAGAUAUUCGGGAAGAACACCAGUGGCGAAGGCGGCUC
rnacentral:rRNA from 1 species